AUUGAACGCUGGCGGCAGGCCUAACACAUGCAAGUCGAACGAGUGGCGGACGGGUGAGUAAUGUCUGGGAAACUGCCUGAUGGAGGGGGAUAACUACUGGAAACGGUAGCUAAUACCGCAUACCAUCAGAUGUGCCCAGAUGGGAUUAGCUAGUUGGUGGGGUAACGGCUCACCAAGGCGACGAUCCCUAGCUGGGCUGAAAGGAGGACCAGCCACACGGGAAGUGAAACACGGCCCAGACGCCUACGGGAGGCAGCAGUGGGGAAUAUUGCACAAUAGUGGCAAGCCUUAUGCAGCCAUGCCGCGGGUAUGAAGGAAGCCUUCGGGUUGUAAAGUACUUUCAGCGGUGAGGCGUUACCCGCAGAAGAAGCACCGGCUAACUCCGUGCCAGCAGCCGCGGUAAUAC
rnacentral:rRNA from 1 species